CAGCACAUUUCAUUGUCCCAUUCUUGCCUUGUAAGAAGUGAGAUAUUUCUGAUGUGCCAGACCAAAUUUGGAGGUAAAUUAGCAGAGUGGCUGUGCUGUGCCAACCCUGCCAGUCCCCUUCAGACAAUG